rnacentral:rRNA from 1 species
CCUACGGGGAGCAGCAGUGAGGAAUAUUGGUCAAUGGGCUUACGCCUGAACCAGCCAAGUCGCGUGAGGGAAGACUGCCCUACGGGUUGUAAACUUCUUUUAUAAAGGAAUAAAGUGAGGCACGUGUGCCUUUUUGUAUGUACUUUAUGAAUAAGGAUCGGCUAACUCCGUGCCAGCAGCCGCGGUAAUACGGAGGAUCCGAGCGUUAUCCGGAUUUAUUGGGUUUAAAGGGAGCGUAGAUGGGUUGUUAAGUCAGUUGUGAAAGUUUGCGGCUCAACCGUAAAAUUGCAAUUGAUACUGGCAGCCUUGAGUACAGUUGAGGUAGGCGGAAUUCGUGGUGUAGCGGUGAAAUGCUUAGAUAUCACGAAGAACUCCGAUUGCGAAGGCAGCUUACUAAACUGCCACUGACAUUGAUGCUCGAAAGUGUGGGUAUCAAACAGGAUUAGAUACCCUAGUAGUC